GAUGAACGCUGGCGGCGUGCCUAAUACAUGCAAGUCGAACGAAACUUCUUUAUCACCGAGUGCUUGCACUCACCGAUAAAGAGUUGAGUGGCGAACGGGUGAGUAACACGUGGGCAACCUGCCCCAAAGAGGGGGAUAACACUUGGAAACAGGUGCUAAUACCGCAUAACCAUAGUUACCGCAUGGUAACUAUGUAAAAGGUGGCUAUACUACCGCUUUUGGAUGGGCCCGCGGCGCAUUAGCUAGUUGGUAGGGUAAAGGCUUACCAAGGCAAUGAUGCGUAGCCGAAUUGAGAGGGUGAUCGGCCACAUUGGGACUGAGACACGGCCCAAACUCCUACGGGAGGCAGCAGUAGGGAAUCUUCCACAAUGGGCGAAAGCCUGAUGGAGCAACGCCGCGUGGGUGAAGAAGGUCUUCGGAUCGUAAAACCCUGUUGUUAGAGAAGAAAGUGCGUGAGAGUAACUGUUCACGUUUUGACGGUAUCUAACCAGAAAGCCACUGCUAACUACGUG
rnacentral:rRNA from 1 species